CCUACGGGAGGCAGCAGUGAGGAAUAUUGGUCAAUGGACGAGAGUCUGAACCAGCCAAGUAGCGUGAAGGAUGACUGCCCUAUGGGUUGUAAACUUCUUUUAUAUGGGACUAGAACAGGGUAUGCAUACCCUCUUGUAUGUACCAUAUGAAUAAGGAUCGGCUAACUCCGUGCCAGCAGACGCGGUAAUACGGAGGAUCCGAGCGUUAUCCGGAUUUAUUGGGUGUAAAGGGAACGUAGGUGGAUUGUUCAGUCAGUUGUGAAAGUUUGCGGCUCAACCGGAAAAUUGCAUUCGAAACUGGCAGUCUUGAGUACAGUAGAGGUGGGCGGAAUGCCUGGUGUAGCGGUGAAAUGCUUAGAUAUCACGAAGAACUCCGAUUGCGAAGGCAGCUCCCUGGACUGCAACUGACACUGAUGCGCGAAAGUGUGGGUAUCAAACAGGAUUAGAUACCCUGGUAGUC
rnacentral:rRNA from 1 species